UACUGUCUCUUGCUUCCAAUCAGUGAAAUUGACCUUCCCGUGAAGAGGCGGGAAUACAUUAAUAAGACGAGAAGACCCUAUGGAGCUUUAACUACUUGACCCAAAGAAAUAAAUUUCAUCGCUAAGGAAACAACAACACUCUUCAUGGGCCAACAGCUUUGGUUGGGGUGACCUCGGAGAACAAGAAAUCCUCCGAGCGAUUUUAAAGACUAGACCUACAAGUCGAAUCACACAAUCGUUUAUUGAUCCAAAAAAUUGAUCAACGGAACAAGUUACCCUAGGGAUAACAGCGCAAUCCUAUUCAAGAGUCCAUAUCGACAAUAGGGUUUACGACCUCGAUGUUGGAUCAGGACAUCCCGAUGGUGCAACCGCUAUCAAAGGUUCGUUUGUUCAACGAUUAAAGUCCUACGUGA
rnacentral:rRNA from 1 species